CUUCUUCAUGAAUUCCAUUUGGGCCAUUGCCAUUGAUACCGUUAUCUUUGCAGCACUGCAAGGAUGCUUCAGUGUCUUCUGUUUCAGAAGAGGUUUUCACGUAUCGGCUGGAAAACAGGGAUCAGCAGUUAUACAAGGCACUGCUAUAAGGAAAGGUUGGCCAAAAUGUGUGGAACCGCUAUGAUGGCUAUAACCACUAUGCCGAAACUUCUCCCUUAAACAAACUGGAAUUACAACUUGCUCUGUAUCUUCAGUUCUGUUGAUGCCAAUUUCAAAUCUAAAACAGCCACCACCAAAAAUGUAAAAGGAAAGAGAGAGAAAGAGGAAAAAGGAGGAAAGAACACAGCAUAUAUUUAAAUAUUGCUAUUUUCCCAGCAAUGGGGAAUAUAUGAUUUUCAAAUUGUGUUGGAUUGCAAGUUGCAUCAACAUUCACAAUUAUGAGAACAGCAGUUUAACAGCUUGUGGAAAGAGAUUCAUUUACAACCCAUGCUUUAACCAAUCUUUUACUAGAAACCAUAAAAACACAACUUUUUUGGGACAUUUUAAUUUGUACUUACACAUAGAUGUCAUCACGCUCCAUAAUACUACUCAGAUUUUCAUCCAUUGCAAAUAUCCUAUGGAACCUAUGAUUGUAUAUAUCUGUAACUAUCAUCUACAAAGAAAUAAAAUUAAUAUUUCAUUGC